rnacentral:rRNA from 1 species
UCAUUUAAAGAAAGCGUAAUAGCUCACUGGUCGAGUCGGCCUGCGCGGAAGAUGUAACGGGGCUAAACCAUGCACCGAAGCUGCGGCAGCGACGCUGAUGCGUUGUUGGGUAGGGGAGCGUUCUGUAAGCCUGUGAAGGUGGCCUGUGAGGGUUGCUGGAGGUAUCAGAAGUGCGAAUGCUGACAUAAGUAACGAUAAAGCGGGUGAAAAGCCCGCUCGCCGGAAGACCAAGGGUUCCUGUCCAACGUUAAUCGGGGCAGGGUGAGUCGACCCCUAAGGCGAGGCCGAAAGGCGUAGUCGAUGGGAAACGGGUUAAUAUUCCCGUACUUGGUGUUACUGCGAAGGGGGGACGGAGAAGGCUAUGUUGGCCGGGCGACGGUUGUCCCGGUUUAAGCGUGUAGGUGUGUGUUCCAGGUAAAUCCGGUUCACUUUAACACUGAGGCGUGAUGACGAGGCACUACGGUGCUGAAGCAACAAAUGCCCUGCUUCCAGGAAAAGCCUCUAAGCAUCAGGUAACAUCAAAUCGUACCCCAAACCGACACAGGUGGUCAGGUAGAGAAUACCAAGGCGCUUGAGAGAACUCGGGUGAAGGAACUAGGCAAAAUGGUGCCGUAACUUCGGGAGAAGGCACGCUGACACGUAGGUGAAGUGAUUUACUCA